rnacentral:tRNA from 1 species
GGCUUCACAGCUCAGUUGGUUAGAGCGUCGCACCGGUAUCGCGAAGUCACGGGUUCAAACCCCGUUGAAGUCC